CAGCAGCCGCGGGAAUACGAGGGGGGCAAGCGUUGUUCGGAAUUAUUGGGCAUAAAGGGUGCGUAGGCAGCCCCGCAAGUCUCAUGUGAAAUCUUCAGGCUCAACUCGAAGUCUGCAUGGGAAACUGCGGGGCUGGAGUAUGGGGGAGGUGAGUGGAAUUCCUGGUGUAGCGGUGAAAUGCGUAGAUAUCAGGAGGAACACCUGUGGCGAAAGCGGCUCACUGGACCAUUUCUGACGCUGAUGCACGAAAGCUAGGGGAGCAAACAGGAUUAGAUACCCCUGUAGUCCCUGUCUCUUAUAA
rnacentral:rRNA from 1 species